ensembl:lncRNA
GUUAAUCGGAAAACCAUACAGGUUUAUUUCAUGUAAGUUUCAUGUGACGUGAGAGCCUUCAUAAGGAAAUGAAGACCAAAGACACAGGUAAACUUGACUGUUGUUAUGCCAGGUAUGAUGAAGAAUGAACAAUGAUGGAGAAAUAUGAUAGGACAAAUAAUAUUAUCUGAUGGUAAUAAAUGGGGAGGGACUUAACAAGGCCUGUUUGUUUGAAUUUUUCUCUGUGUUCCUCCAUUUUCAGAGAUAAGGAUGCUUUCUCCUUCCCUGUGGGUUUAAGGAGGGCAUCUCUCACAUCAGGGUCUUAUAACAGACUUUAGGGGAAGGUCAGUGUAUUAGUCAGUUUUCACGCUGCUGAUAAAGACAUACCCAGACCGGGCAAUUUACGAAAGAAAAAGGUUUAAUGGACUUACAGUUCCACGUGGCUGGAGAGGCCUCACAAUCACGUUAGAAAGCAAGGAGGAGCAAGUCACAUCUUACGCGGAUAGUGGCAGGCAAAGAGAGAAUGAGAGCCAAGCAAAAUGGGUUUCCCCAUUAUGAAACCAUCAGCUCUCAUGAAACUCAUUCAUUACCAUGAGAACAGUGCAGGAAAGACCCCCCUCCCCAUAAUUUAGUCACCUCCCACUGGGUUCCUCCCAUGACAUGUGGGAAUUGUGGGAGUUACAAUUCAAGAUGAGAUUUGGGUGGAGACACAGCCAAACCAUAUCAGUCAGAGAGUCCUUCCUAGGUUUUACAAUCUGCUUCAGGGGAGAAGUAUGGGGAAAGGUAAGUGCAAUCAUCCUGUUUCUGCCAUUUUCUUCAAUAUGACAAGAUGCCAUUUUUGGGGGAGUGUGUCCUGAACCCCAUAACCUGUCUGGCAACAGAUUUCGUCUUUCCUUUGCAGAGAAUACAGAACAACAACAGGACACAGAAGCUAACAAGAAACUCCCAGGAACUUGAGGCACAGGGGCAGGUAGCAGCAGCAGGAGACCGGUGGAGGAGACCUUCAGUAUAGAGGAGACCAGUACCAGGCCAUCCAGUCUAUAGAGCUAGGAGCCACUGAGCCACUCCCCGAGAAGAGGUCUACAGGAGUUCAUUCCCUCACAGGCUUCAAAAGGAACCAACCCCACCAGUACCUUAAUCUCAGACUUCCAGCCUCCAGAACUGUGAGACAAUAAAGUUCUCUUGUUUAUUCUGCACCGUUUGUCGUACUUUGUUUCAGCAGUCCCGGCAAGCUGAGACACCUGUAAACUGGAUGUUAGGUCUAGAGACAUAAUGAGAUUCAGAUUAAAUACUU